rnacentral:rRNA from 1 species
UGUUGAUGUUUGGUUUUAUUAUAUUUUGAUAUUGCAUAUUGCUGGAAGAGAAUUUUGUUUAUUACUAUUAAUAGAAAUUAUUUGUAAAAUUUUAUUGUUUUUUACUGUUUUAAAGUAAAAAUGAGUAAAUUUGGUAUUGAUAAGGCGUGAAUAAUGAUAUCUGUUUUUUUUUUUUUAUUGGAGAGUUAUAAUAUUGGUUUGUGAUUUUUUUUUGUUUAGAAUUGAAAGUUUUUUUUUUCAUUGUGUAAUAACAUAGGAUUUUUGGAGGUGAGUUUUUUGUAGUGUUUUUAUUUUUAUUUAAAUAAAUUUAGAAUUUUUAGUUUAGUAUAAUUUUUUUUUUUAUUUUGUUGGAUUUUUUUAUUUUUGUUGGAAGAACUUGAAAUGAGAUCAAAUGUUUUUUAAAGACUUAGGUUUUUUUUUAAAGCUGACUUCUGCUCUAUGAUUUUUGUGUUAAAUGGCGGCCUUAGCGUGAGGGUAUUAAGGUAGCAAAAUGGAUUGUGUUUUUAAUGGAUUCUAGUAUGAAUGAAGUUAUUGGUUUUGGUUUUUUGGCAUUUGUGUUGAAGUAUUUUUUUGUUUAAGAAUUAAUAGAUUUAUUUAAACUAAGAUAAGUCUUCGGAAGUUUUUUUUUGUGUUAUUUGGGGUAAAUUUUUUUUGUAUGUUUUUAAUCUAGUGUUAAUAUUUUAAACUACUUCGGAGUUAACAGAAUGUUAUUUUUGAUAUAGUGGUUAUAUUAUGAAAAAUAUUACAUCGAUGUUGUAUUCUUAUUAUUGGAUGGGUAGAGAAAUUUGUGUUUGAGACUGUUCUUCUUUUAGAUAAUAAGACGUGAUAUUAGUUUAAUUCAUCGUGAGAUAGAAUUGUUUAUCUGGUUAAUUAAGUGUUUGAUUUUUGAUUAGUACGAAAGGAAUUUUAAUGUAGUUAGUAAUUUUGUUUGGAUUUGUUUUG